rnacentral:rRNA from 1 species
GUGCAGCAGUCGAGAAUACUCCGCAAUACACGAAAGUGUGACGGGGCCAUCCCGAGUGCCGUCCGCUGAGGACGGCUUUCCCAGUGUACAUAGCUGGGGGAAUAUGGAGAGGGCAAGCCUGGUGUCAGCCGCCGCGGUAAUACCAGCUCUCCGAGUGGUGGGGACGCUUAUUGGGCCUAAAGCAUCCGUAGCCGGCUGGGCAAGUCCUCCGUUAAAUCCAAG